rnacentral:rRNA from 1 species
UACGUAGGGGGCAAGCGUUGUCUGGAAUUAUUGGGCGUAAAGAGCGCGUAGGCGGUCCGAUAAGUCGGCUGUGAAAGUCAUGGGCUCAACCCAUGAAAGCCGGCCGAUACUGUCGGACUAGAGUCCGGAAGAGGCGAGUGGAAUUCCUGGUGUAGCGGUGAAAUGCGCAGAUAUCGGGAGGAACACCCGUAGCGAAGGCGGCACUCUGGGCCGGAACUGACGCUGAGGAGCGAAAGCGUGGGGAGCAAACAGG